AUAGAUGAGGUACAGAAGUGUCCAGCAACACAGCCUGGGCCUAUUUCAUCAUCUCACCAAACAAGAAGACAGCCUGCUUCUCGCUUGACAGAUCAAGGAAGGAGGAGGUGGAGGAGAUGACAGAACAACAAGAUCUGCAGAAAGAACAUCCAUGAUCUGGUGGCAGGUGCCCAAGCCAUGUGCCCUCCCAAUACCCACAACUGGAGUCUCUUUGCUAGAGAGACCUACGACGAACACAACAAAAUCAUCGGAAUCCAGGACUCCCCACUUGAAGGAUGCUGAACUAGGAUGGAAAUUACCUCUACACCCCGAUUGCAUCUCCACUAUCCCUGGCCCAUUCCUCUGCUUUCCUUAUUGCAACACAGAGGUGAUAGCCUAUGAUGGAAGGGAAGCCCUGGCAGAAUUGACACUGCAGUGGGGAGUCCAGGCUGCUGGAACCAGAGAAUUGAUAUCCCACAAGCCUAAUGUUCAGCUACCUGCUUCUGCCACCAAUUUCUCAUCUUCUAAAGGCUCCAUAAACGCCCAAAACAGUGCAAAGCAACUAAGGAUCAACUGAUCAAACAUUUGUCCCUAUGGUGGACAUCUUAUAUUCAACCCGUGACAAAGAAUUUAUAUUAACAAGACAACCGUUUUACAAGUUGUUGGUGGUGACACUGUUGGGUUUUGACUUUAAAGCAGGGUGUUACUAUAGCCCAGACUGGCCUUGAAUACACAGUGUAGCCCAGCAUUGGCUGGCCUGGAAGUCAUGGGAAUCCUCCUGUCACCUCUUUUCAAUUGUUGGAACUGUAUGCAUAAAUGUUGAAAUUAUAAGCACCAUGCUUGGCUUAAGACAACCUUCAUUAUCUCGCAUUCCCUUCCCUGAUUCUGUCAUAACUUCUAUUGCCACACUCCAACCCAAAAGAUUCUCCUCCUUGCCUGUCCCCAGAUCUAAAUGCUGGAUGAACAGCUAUCCCAUGCAUCAAUUCAAACCAGGUACACUAGAUGAUUAUGUUCCCCUGAUUGUUGGCACAGUCUUUCCCAAGUACCUAAUUAAAUACGGUUUUCCUCUUGUC
rnacentral:lncRNA from 1 species